rnacentral:lncRNA from 1 species
UUCCCUAUAAGUAGCCUUGACUGCCUUGUCCAACUCCACAGCAACUGAAAGUUGGAUACACACAAUAAUAUUGUAGCAAUAUUAGCCAAUGUCGUCAAUGGGUGCUAGUUAUGGUCUUCUUCACGUUCAGAAAAAGCGUCUUGAAGAGAAACUGCACAAGGAGAAAGAGAGACUAGACAAGGAUGGAGGUACAAGUGUUGGCACUAAUGCUUAUAAAUCAGACGGUAAAAACAAGAUUCAUCCCUCCACUAAUUUCUCCAAUCCCACAACUUGAAAUGCUUCAGCCUGGAGAAUUGUACAACAAAAUCAUGUGUGUGAUUUCAUUGAAGUUGUGUAGUAGCAUGUCAAGUGAAUAAUCAACUUGUCGUCUGCUUGUAAGAUACAUUUUGGUGAAAUAAAUUGUCUGUUUUCUGCAGAAGAAAUUCAUAACUAUAUUUCAUGCGCA